rnacentral:tRNA from 1 species
GGCUUUUAGCUCAGUGGUUAGAGCGUUCGACUACCAUGCCAGUGUAUGUCGAGGUGGCGGGUUCGAGGGCCGUGAAAGGCCG